AACAUGCAAGUCGAGCGGAAACGAUGGAAGCUUGCUUCCAGGCGUCGAGCGGCGGACGGGUGAGUAAUGCAUAGGAAUCUGCCCGAUAGUGGGGGAUAACCUGGGGAAACCCAGGCUAAUACCGCAUACGUCCUACGGGAGAAAGCAGGGGAUCUUCGGACCUUGCGCUAUCGGAUGAGCCUAUGUCGGAUUAGCUAGUUGGUGAGGUAAUGGCUCACCAAGGCCGCGAUCCGUAGCUGGUCUGAGAGGAUGAUCAGCCACAUCGGGACUGAGACACGGCCCGAACUCCUACGGGAGGCAGCAGUGGGGAAUAUUGGACAAUGGGCGAAAGCCUGAUCCAGCCAUGCCGCGUGUGUGAAGAAGGCUUUCGGGUUGUAAAGCACUUUCAGUGGGGAAGAAAUCCUCGGGGCCAAUACCCUCGAGGGAGGACAUCACCCACAGAAGAAGCACCGGCUAACUCCGUGCCAGCAGCCGCGGUAAUACGGAGGGUGCGAGCGUUAAUCGGAAUUACUGGGCGUAAAGCGCGCGUAGGCGGCGUGAUAAGCCGGUUGUGAAAGCCCCGGGCUCAACCUGGGAACGGCAUCCGGAACUGUCAGGCUAGAGUGCAGGAGAGGAAGGUAGAAUUCCCGGUGUAGCGGUGAAAUGCGUAGAGAUCGGGAGGAAUACCAGUGGCGAAGGCGGCCUUCUGGACUGACACUGACGCUGAGGUGCGAAAGCGUGGGUAGCAAACAGGAUUAGAUACCCUGGUAGUCCACGCCGUAAACGAUGUCGACUAGCCGUUGGGGUCCUUGUGACCUUUGUGGCGCAGUUAACGCGAUAAGUCGACCGCCUGGGGAGUACGGCCGCAAGGUUAAAACUCAAAUGAAUUGACGGGGGCCCGCACAAGCGGUGGAGCAUGUGGUUUAA
rnacentral:rRNA from 1 species